GAUGAACGCUGGCGGCGUGCCUAAUACGUGCAAGUCGAGCGAACGGACGAGAAGCUUGCUUCUCUGAUGUUAGCGGCGGACGGGUGAGUAACACGUGGAUAACCUACCUAUAAGACUGGGAUAACUUCGGGAAGCCGUAGCUAAUACCGGAUAAUAUUUUGAACCGCAUGGUUCAAAAGUGAAAGACGGUCUUGCUGUCACUUAUAGAUGGAUCCGCGCUGCAUUAGCUAGUUGGUAAGGUAACGGCUUACCAAGGCAACGAUGCAUAGCCGACCUGAGAGGGUGAUCGGCCACACUGGAACUGAGACACGGUCCAGACUCCUACGGGAGGCAGCAGUAGGGAAUCUUCCGCAAUGGGCGAAAGCCUGACGGAGCAACGCCGCGUGAGUGAUGAAGGUCUUCGGAUCGUAAAACUCUGUUAUUAGGGAAGAACAUAUGUGUAAGUAACUGUGCACAUCUUGACGGUACCUAAUCAGAAAGCCACGGCUAACUACGUG
rnacentral:rRNA from 1 species